CUUUUAAACGCUAGGAAACUUGCCCUUUAGAAACACGGCUAUCUUUGCUUUAUUGCCUUUCGAGUGAGUUGAUUUAUUUAAUCCACUUAUAAAAGUAUACAGCACACGAGAAGGAUAAGAGCGACUUCACCUGAAGAAGCAGCGAUGUUGGGAUUGCUACAGAAAGCUCCGUAUAAUAACUGAUUCGUUUCCAAAAUAACAUCAACUCCUGCUCUCCACCUCCCACCCACCCCGCCACAAACACGAAUGACAAUGAACAACUCUUGUUUAAAUGCAACAAUAAACCCCAACUUCUUAUUCUUUCGCAGCGUUCCAGCCUGCCUAAAAUUCUCUCAACUCCAUUCACUAUGAGUCUAAGCUGUUGGCAAAGUGCUGUAAAAAUAGCUAUUUGAAAGACGCCCCCCCCUUUUUUUUUUUUUUUGCAAGGUCUCAUGCCAUAGAUUUUAUUGAAGCAAUUAUUUAACGACCUAAUUCUAGUGUGCUUUUCUUUUCCUUCUGUCCCUGGGUGGAAGCCACCGGCCUUCUCUCACUACCACGGCUUGUUAAUUCCAUUUCCCUCUUCCCCUCCAAUAAUAUGUCUGGGUCCCAAUUAUAUCCCAAGACCCAAUUCGGAUCCCACUAACCCAGCAGCCACUCUACUGAAGUCAAUGGAGUUCCAUGCGUGUGAAAAUCCGUAUGCAACCAGAGGAGACGCAGACCCCCACUUAUUUCAAACAAUUUAUAAUAUUAUUUCAAAGGGCGAAAGACUCUAGCAUCCACACUACUGGUUCAAAGCAACAAUGCCACUUUAUUUUAAUUUUCUUUCCCACAGCUUGUCCUUUAAAAGGCACACAAGGUUUUACUGUACCCGGGGUCUAAAUGCGUUAUUAACUGCUAAGAUUACAAACCUCAUUUCGGAUUGUGUUUUUAGCCAGAGUAAAGUUUCGUUUCUUGGAAAAUUGCCCACAUGUGUAAGUUGUUUUGCUUCUCUUCAGACCAGGAAUUUUUUCCCCCCCUCUCACCACUUGCGGAUUUUGAACAGACGGCGGUAUUCAGACUCAGAGGCAGCACAGGAAAUGGUAAAGGUAGAUCCUUCUGCUUUUAGGCUACAGAAACUUAUUUCACUUUUUUAAAGAAACGUUUUACUCUUCGGGACCUUUUUGAUGAUGAUGAUGAUGAUGGUUAUUCGCCCUCCUCAUCAGUUUUGCAAGCACCCCUGACUGAAUUUCCUUUCAUAACCUCUUAGACUUGUGUAAAUGUAAACAUCCUGUUUGUUUCAUGCUGAGUUUUGAUUUCUGUUUCCUGUCUCUUUUUAUGCCUUUUCAAUCAGUCAUUAGCUUGGUUAUUAUUAUUUAAUGCUGAAUGUUCUUCACAGCUGCAGAAUGAACGCUAGGAUAUUUGGGAUUUGGGCUUAUCUUGGAAUCUCGCCCUUCAAUCUCUCGAUAGCUAUGAAGUUCACUCCCAACUUUUUAUUCACUCUAGAUUGCCCUUAUCUAUUGAAAAGAAAAACUGCAUGGCACAGUGAAUUUCUCUUAAAUGACAAUAUAGGAUACAUAUUGUGCACAGACGCCAUAUUGGCCUCUUGGCUCAGAAAUCCUGGAUCAAAUCCUACAAUCCUUACUCAAUUCUGGCUUAAGAUAAAACUGCUAUUGAGGUCAAUGUUUUUUUUUUUUCUUUUUUUUGCCGGAGAAAGGAAUACCGGAUCAGAGCUUUUGUGUUCGCAAAACUUUUCCAUCUUCUUCAAGUGGAUGAUAAGGAAGAAAAAUCUCAUGGAAAAAGGUGCCAUUUCUAAUAAAUGACAACAAUAGUUUUUUUUCUUUAAAAAAAAAAGUGGUUAAAUAUGUUUCCGGUAAGCAAUGGAUCAUCUGUUUUUUCUUGUGCCAGAUCUUAUAAAUCAGUAAAAUGUGACUGUUACACAGAGUUACAAUCUGCGUAUUUAAAACACACUUUAUAUGUGCCUGUUUUCAGCAUAGAACUUUCUGCCCAAGUAGCUGAUUGUUCAGGGUGAAAUUUGGCAAAUGUGUAUUUCAAUGGGAAGAGCUAUUUAGAAAUUAUUUCUUCCCCUCCCGCAAACAAUAAAUAUUAUUUAUAAAUAG